rnacentral:rRNA from 1 species
UUAAGCGACUAAGCGUACACGGUGGAUGCCUGGCAGUCAGAGGCGAUGAAGGACGUGCUAAUCUGCGAUAAGCGUCGGUAAGGUGAUAUGAACCGUUAUAACCGGCGAUUUCCGAAUGGGGAAACCCAGUUGUGAUUUCGUCACACUAUCAUUAACUGAAUCCAUAGGUUAAUGAGGCGAACCGGGGGAACUGAAACAUCUAAGUACCCCGAGGAAAAGAAAUCAACCGAGAUUCCCCCAGUAGCGGCGAGCGAACGGGGAGCAGCCCAGAGCCUGAAUCAGUGUGUGUGUUAGUGGAAGCGUCUGGAAAGGCACGCGAUACAGGGUGACAGCCCCGUACACAAAAAUGCACAUGCUGUGAGCUCGAUGAGUAGGGCGGGACACGUGGUAUCCUGUCUGAAUAUGGGGGGACCAUCCUCCAAGGCUAAAUACUCCUGACUGACCGAUAGUGAACCAGUACCGUGAGGGAAAGGCGAAAAGAACCCCGGCGAGGGGAGUGAAAAAGAACCUGAAACCGUGUACGUACAAGCAGUGGGAGCACGCUUAGGCGUGUGACUGCGUACCUUUUGUAUAAUGGGUCAGCGACUUAUAUUCUGUAGCAAGGUUAACCGAAUAGGGGAGCCGAAGGGAAACCGAGUCUUAACUGGGCGUUAAGUUGCAGGGUAUAGACCCGAAACCCGGUGAUCUAGCCAUGGGCAGGUUGAAGGUUGGGUAACACUAACUGGAGGACCGAACCGACUAAUGUUGAAAAAUUAGCGGAUGACUUGUGGCUGGGGGUGAAAGGCCAAUCAACCGGGAGAUAGCUGGUUCUCCCCGAAAGCUAUUUAGGUAGCGCCUCGUGAAUUCAUCUCCGGGGGUAGAGCACUGUUUCGGCAAGGGGGUCAUCCCGACUUACCAACCCGAUGCAAACUGCGAAUACCGGAGAAUGUUAUCACGGGAGACACACGGCGGGUGCUAACGUCCGUCGUGAAGAGGGAAACAACCCAGACCGCCAGCUAAGGUCCCAAAGUCAUGGUUAAGUGGGAAACGAUGUGGGAAGGCCCAGACAGCCAGGAUGUUGGCUUAGAAGCAGCCAUCAUUUAAAGAAAGCGUAAUAGCUCACUGGUCGAGUCGGCCUGCGCGGAAGAUGUAACGGGGGCUAAACCAUGCACCGAAGCUGCGGCAGCGACACUAUGUGUUGUUGGGUAGGGGGAGCGUUCUGUAAGCCUGUGAAGGUGUGCUGUGAGGCAUGCUGGAGGUAUCAGAAGUGCGAAUGCUGACAUAAGUAACGAUAAAGCGGGUGAAAAGCCCGCUCGCCGGAAGACCAAGGGUUCCUGUCCAACGUUAAUCGGGGCAGGGUGAGUCGACCCCUAAGGCGAGGCCGAAAGGCGUAGUCGAUGGGAAACAGGUUAAUAUUCCUGUACUUGGUGUUACUGCGAAGGGGGGGACGGAGAAGGCUAUGUUGGCCGGGCGACGGUUGUCCCGGUUUAAGCGUGUAGGCUGGUUUUCCAGGCAAAUCCGGAAAAUCAAGGCUGAGGCGUGAUGACGAGGCACUACGGUGCUGAAGCAACAAAUGCCCUGCUUCCAGGAAAAGCCUCUAAGCAUCAGGUAACAUCAAAUCGUACCCCAAACCGACACAGGUGGUCAGGUAGAGAAUACCAAGGCGCUUGAGAGAACUCGGGUGAAGGAACUAGGCAAAAUGGUGCCGUAACUUCGGGAGAAGGCACGCUGAUAUGUAGGUGAAGUCCCUCGCGGAUGGAGCUGAAAUCAGUCGAAGAUACCAGCUGGCUGCAACUGUUUAUUAAAAACACAGCACUGUGCAAACACGAAAGUGGACGUAUACGGUGUGACGCCUGCCCGGUGCCGGAAGGUUAAUUGAUGGGGUUAGCGCAAGCGAAGCUCUUGAUCGAAGCCCCGGUAAACGGCGGCCGUAACUAUAACGGUCCUAAGGUAGCGAAAUUCCUUGUCGGGUAAGUUCCGACCUGCACGAAUGGCGUAAUGAUGGCCAGGCUGUCUCCACCCGAGACUCAGUGAAAUUGAACUCGCUGUGAAGAUGCAGUGUACCCGCGGCAAGACGGAAAGACCCCGUGAACCUUUUACUAUAGCUUGACACUGAACAUUGAGCCUUGAUGUGUAGGAUAGGUGGGAGGCUUAGAAGUGUGGACGCCAGUCUGCAUGGAGCCGACCUUGAAAUACCACCCUUUAAUGUUUGAUGUUCUAACGUUGACCCGUAAUCCGGGUUGCGGACAGUGUCUGGUGGGUAGUUUGACUGGGGCGGUCUCCUCCUAAAGAGUAACGGAGGAGCACGAAGGUUGGCUAAUCCUGGUCGGACAUCAGGAGGUUAGUGCAAUGGCAUAAGCCAGCUUGACUGCGAGCGUGACGGCGCGAGCAGGUGCGAAAGCAGGUCAUAGUGAUCCGGUGGUUCUGAAUGGAAGGGCCAUCGCUCAACGGAUAAAAGGUACUCCGGGGAUAACAGGCUGAUACCGCCCAAGAGUUCAUAUCGACGGCGGUGUUUGGCACCUCGAUGUCGGCUCAUCACAUCCUGGGGCUGAAGUAGGUCCCAAGGGUAUGGCUGUUCGCCAUUUAAAGUGGUACGCGAGCUGGGUUUAGAACGUCGGUGAGACAGUUCGGUCCCUAUCUGCCGUGGGCGCUGGAGAACUGAGGGGGGCUGCUCCUAGUACGAGAGGACCGGAGUGGACGCAUCACUGGUGUUCGGGUUGUCAUGCCAAUGGCACUGCCCGGUAGCUAAAUGCGGAAGAGAUAAGUGCUGAAAGCAUCUAAGCACGAAACUUGCCCCGAGAUGAGUUCUCCCUGACUCCUUGAGAGUCCUGAAGGAACGUUGAAGACGACGACGUUGAUAGGCCGGGUGUGUAAGCGCAGCGAUGCGUUGAGCUAACCGGUACUAAUGAACCGUGAGGCUUAACCUU